rnacentral:tRNA from 1 species
GAGGAGGUGGCCCAGGGCGUCGCGGCGCUCCUCACCCUGGGUGGGGCCCAGGUGCUGCAAAGCGACGGUUAUCCCGGUUGGAAGCCGAACCUCGACUC